rnacentral:rRNA from 1 species
CCUACGGGGGGCUGCAGUGAGGAAUAUUGGGCAAUGCCCGCAAGGGUGACCCAGCAACGCCGCGUGGAGGAUGAAGGCCGUAAGGUUGUAAACUCCUGUUAGAGGAGAAGAAUAGUACCGAUUGGAUCGGUAUUUGACUGUACCCUCAGAGAAAGCCCCGGCUAACUACGUGCCAGCAGCCGCGGUAAUACGCAGGGGGCAAGCGUUGUCCGGAUUAACUGGGGCGAAAGCGGGCGCGCGAGGGAGAGGUGAAAUCCUACAGCUUAACUGUAGAACUGCCUUUGAUACUGUUAUUCUUGAGUGCGGGAGAGAGAGACGGAAUUCCAGGUGUAGUGGUGAAAUACGUAGAUAUCUGGAAGAACACCAGUUGCGAAGGCGGUCUCUUGGUCCGAUACUGACGCUGAGGCGCGAAAGCGUGGGGAGCAAACAGGAUUAGAUACCCCAGUAGUC